CAAUAAUGUAAUUUUAAAUUUAGUAUCAACUAAUAUUUAAAUUAAUUUAAUAAUGACCAUCAGUAUGCCAGCAGCGGGUUUCUUAAAAGAAUUCAUUAAGUAUGAUGAUAUAAAUCUCAAAUGUCUCAUUACAGUACGCCGUAUCAUAUCUUUAAAGUAUAAUUUAUUAAUCAAAUUGAAGGAAUGUAUUCAUGUAUCAAGAGCAACAAGUGAGUAAAUUUUUCCAAGUGAGUAAAAUAACUUGAAUUUAGUGCAAGAGCAACGUGUUUAAUGUUUAAGAGACGCACUAAAGCUUUUGAGUGGGUAGUGUGUGCUGGUAUGACGAUGUCAUCAAAUUUAAUCACUGGUAGUAGUAGGAAUCGGUACCAUCGUCAUCAUCUACUUGGUUAUUAUCUACACCACUAUACCCGAGCACAAGGAGCAUUUAGAUUUAUACUUCUUGAGCUCAAGUUGUACUCGUUUCGUCUUUACUCGUGACUCGUUUUAUUUCAAGCACCACACGUACAUUUUGCUCGGGUGUAUGACCCCCGCCGAGGUCAUGCCGAGGGACUGGCGUAUCCCAAGGGUGACAAGAAUCAUUCACGCAGGGCUUUAUAACUUGCUAACCAUCAACAAUCGUGUCCUUCACAUAUGUAUUCCUACAAUUACAUUCGAGUUCAUGGUCAAUGCCGUAGAUUAAUAGAAACAUUAUUCUAUUAAUUCUUCUAGAAAUUCUACGAAAUAUUUUUGCAAUAAACACAUUACAUACAAUACAGGACGUUUGAUAAACAUUAAACAUUCUGCUGAACCAUAAAUAAAUGCAGAUGUAUCAAUACAUCAAUAAGUUGAGUUAGUCAAGCAUAUAUAUAUACGUAUACGUACAAUUCCAAGCCUACUCACGUCAUGAGAACAAAUAAUAAAAUAAUAUUGCAUGCAACCAAGUGAAAGUUAGUCCAUGGAUUUGAAAAUAUAACGCGGCUGAAUGAGAACGAGAGUCAGAGGUAAGCUGGUGGAUAAAAAAAAAAAGCUACCACGAAGACCAUGAACUUGAAGCAUAAAGCUGAUCAUAGUACACACGCUACACCGGAAAAAGGAGUAUAUGGGACUAAAAUGAUACGGGAUACUAUAUAUAUAUAUAGUAGAGUCAUACAUAUAUGUAUGUAUUAGACAAAUAAAAAUGGAAAUAGGUAAGUAAAGCUGCAAGAGUUCAAGGUAAAAAUCAAAGUUGUAAAUUCAUUAUUAUAUUUGCCCACUAGAGUGUUUGUUUACAAACAAUGUAAGUUAUUUAUCGGAAGAAAAAAUUUAUGCGAUUAAUAAUAAAGGAGUUUUAGAUAUACGACGAUAAUAAAUAGCGUUUUUAUGGAAGGUAUCAAGUUUAAUAAGUAACAAGUGAGAAAAAUAAUUAAGUUAACAGCUUGAAACUUGAGUCAUCAGUGGAUUAAUCAUCUAAGUCUCUCGACAAUAGAUUCUUAUUUAUACUUCUUUGAUAAGCCUUGAUCCGAAUUCCAUUAUGAAGUUUAAUUAUUCAUUUAAUUACUUAUUAUUCGUCUUUCGUAGUCAAAUGUUAUGGAUAUGGAUAUGUUUAUGUGUGUAAGUAUUAUUUAUUAUGAAAAUUAAUGAGAAUAAAUU